rnacentral:rRNA from 1 species
GACGAACGCUGGCGGCGUGCCUAAUACAUGCAAGUAGAACGCUGAAGCUUGGUGCUUGCACCGAGCGGAUGAGUUGCGAACGGGUGAGUAACGCGUAGGUAACCUGCCUGGUAGCGGGGGAUAACUAUUGGAAACGAUAGCUAAUACCGCAUAAUAGUAGAUGUUGCAUGACAUUUGCUUAAAAGGUGCAAUUGCAUCACUACCAGAUGGACCUGCGUUGUAUUAGCUAGUUGGUGAGGUAACGGCUCACCAAGGCAACGAUACAUAGCCGACCUGAGAGGGUGAUCGGCCACACUGGGACUGAGACACGGCCCAGACUCCUACGGGAGGCAGCAGUAGGGAAUCUUCGGCAAUGGACGGAAGUCUGACCGAGCAACGCCGCGGGAGUGAAGAAGGGUUUCGGAUCGUAAAGCUCUGUUGUAAGAGAAGAACGAGUGUGAGAGUGGAAAGUUCACACUGUGACGGUACCUUACCAGAAAGGGACGGCUAACUACGUG